rnacentral:rRNA from 1 species
UACGGGGGGGAGCAAGCGUUGUUCGGAUUUACUGGGCGUAAAGGGCGCGUAGGCGGCCACUGCAAGUCAGUUGUGAAAUCUCCGGGCUUAACCCGGAAAGGUCAACUGAUACUGCAGGGCUAGAGUGCAGAAGGGGCAACUGGAAUUCCCGGUGUAGUGGUGGAAUGCGUAGAUAGUCGGGAGGAACACCAGUGGCGAAGGCGGUUGCCUGGAGCUUUGCUGACGCUGAGGCGCGAAAGCGUGGGGAGCGAGUCCGG